ACAGGGAUUGCCCCAGUAACGGCGAGUGAAGCGGCAACAGCUCAAAUUUGAAAUCUGGCCCCCCGGCCCGAGUUGUAAUUUGGAGAGGAUGCUUCUGGCGCGGCGCCGUCCGAGUUCCUUGGAACAGGACGCCACAGAGGGUGAGAGCCCCGUACGGACGGACGCCUAGCCUCUACGAAGCUCCUUCGACGAGUCGAGUAGUUUGGGAAUGCUGCUCAAAAUGGGAGGUAAAUUUCUUCUAAAGCUAAAUACCGGCCAGAGACCGAUAGCGCACAAGUAGAGUGAUCGAAAGAUGAAAAGCACUUUGAAAAGAGGGUUAAAAAGUACGUGAAAUUGUUGAAAAGGGAAGCGCCUGUGACCAGACUUGCGCCCCGCGGACCACCCGGCGUUCUCGCCGGUGCACUCUGCGGUGCGCAGGCCAGCAUCGGUUCUCCCAGGGGGACAAAGGCCGCGGGAACGUAGCUCCUUCGGGAGUGUUAUAGCCCGCGGCGGCAUGCCCCUGGGGGGACCGAGGACCGCGCUUCGGCAAGGAUGCUGC
rnacentral:rRNA from 1 species